GGCGGCUCCAUGGCGCGGCGCGAGCGGGACACACCCGGCACCGGCGGCUCCGUCCCCGCGACUCCCGGCGGGCACCUCGCCCGCCCCACGCGCACCGCCCAGCAGAGCAUAGGUCUUCUGACUGAAAGAUCUGGAAUUGAAGAAAACGAGCAAGACAAAAGGAAGAUCAGACCGUCUGCGAAAGGGUACAAUCAGACUUUCUUCCAUAGCGCGACACAGCUGCACGACACCCAAAAUGGCAGCCCCAGCCGGUUCCAGAAAAACACGGUUUGUGCUCCACAUACAGCAAAACCAUCAGUUACAUUUAUCAGAAGAUAAAGCAGACGUGACGAGGCUUAUUCUCCAUAGUUGAGUGCGUUCUAUGAAUUUAUUGCUAUGCGUGUUUUGCUAUAUACUGCAGUAGCAAAGCUGUUAACUGACGCAAAUGUGUUUCGGUCCCUGUGGUUUAUUCUUGUAAAGGGGGAAGUUGUAUUGGCACUAUCUCCUUUGUUACAUCCACAGCUCUGUCUAUAUUAAGAAAGCACCCCCAUAACCAAAUAUUUACACAAAUGCAAAAGCUAUGUAGUCCAGAUUUUGCAGUCCAGACAAGUUUUGAAAGGGAUCGUAUUACUGUUCGUUAUUUUUCUUUGAUGUUCAUAAUAAAUAAAGUUCAAAUACAUUUGUAUACAAUUAUGCUCUGUAUGUACGAGAUGAGAGUUUAAAAAAAAGUUCUUUCUGGCCUUGUUGAAGACAUUAGAUAAAUGGGUGACUACUCAUAAGGAUAUUUUCCCAAACAGUUAGCUAAAAAGGAGGUGUUACGCCUUUCAUUUAGUGAAGGAUUCCUAGUGAUGAAAUCAGCAGUGUCUCCAUUUCUGCUGGAAUUAUGAAUAUAUGAAUGUACACUGACGUCUUUCAAAAUGGUUGGUUACUCUAAGUAAAGCAGCAGCUUUUACCUGCUAGCUCCGAAUUAGUUUUUUGAUAAGGAGGGUAAAUGCAUUGUCAUUUUCCAUGACGGUUCAGAUAAGUACCGCUUACAUCUUGUAAGGACAUGACCAUUCACAGUGUCUGUUAGAUUCGUUUUAAAAACAAAUCUACCCAAUAAGAUGCUGGAUACUAUAUGUAAAGCAUGGAAUUUUAAAUCAGGAGAUUACAAGCAUUUUAUUUAAUGACAGAACAGAACUGUCGUUCCCUUCUAUGAAGAAAGAAAAUAUCAUUCAUGUAAUAUGAAGCUAAAGGAACCAGAACCUCAAAGUAGGGAUAUUAAGAUUUUGGGUUCUUCUGUUGUUUUAUAUGUGCUUUAAAGGGUAAUCUGACUCGAGUAUCCUAGGCUGACUGGAUGAGUGAGGUUUUUUGCUGUACAUCCACUUGUGUCAACACAGAAAUUAUAUACCAUGGGAAGUAUAAUGAGGCAAUCACAGUCAUUACAGAAAGAGAAAAUGAUUUGUCAUUAGAAUGGAGAUGCUUACCCUUCUGUGAAAUAAAUCCUAGCUAGUAAUUAAAAUAAAUACUGUACUGCAUUUAGAAAA